rnacentral:lncRNA from 1 species
UAGGUUACUCUAGUUUCUUAGCUACAAAAAGAAAAAAAGAAAAGGAAAAUCUAGUUUACGGUAUAAUCAUGUAUCACGAUCGCCGUCAAAGUGAGUUAUAUCAGCCUCCACAAAAACUGAAUCAAGAAGCAAGUCAUCAUCCGCCCACCCAUUGUUGCGAAUCCUUUCUACUUAAACGAGACAGCUCAAGUCAAACCUUCUAGUCAGCUUAAUCUUUUUCAUAUCAAGAUUAGGAUGACGAGGUCAUACACGUGGCACUUCCUGAUUGCAUCAUCUAAAUUUCCUUACCUUUGAUUGGAGGAUAAUCAUGGGACCCAUUUAAUGGAUCCACUUGGUAUUAUAAUGCCUUUGUCUCCACUUUGUCUCCCGCUUCUUUCCCCUCCCCCUCUCAAAGCCUCAAACAUCUUUUCCUUUUUGUACUUGAAUA